rnacentral:rRNA from 1 species
GCUGGCGGCACGCCUAACACAUGCAAGUCGAGCGGUAACAUGGUGUGUAGCAAUACACGCUGAUGACGAGCGGCGGACGGGUGAGUAAUACGUAGGAAACCUGCCCUUAAGCGGGGGACAACCAAGGGAAACUUUGGCUAAUACCGCAUAAUCUCGCGAGAGCAAAGCUGCCGGUAACGGUGGCACUUAAGGAGGGGCCUGCGUCCGAUUAGCUAGUUGGUAGGGUAAAAGCCUACCAAGGCGAUGAUCGGUAACUGGUCUGAGAGGACGACCAGUCACACUGGGACUGAGACACGGCCCAGACUCCUACGGGAGGCAGCAGUGGGGAAUCUUGGACAAUGGGGGCAACCCUGAUCCAGCGAUGCCGCGUGGGUGAAGAAGGCCUUCGGGUUGUAAAGCCCUUUAGGCUGGGACGAAGGAUACGGGAGGAUAAUUCCUGUAUUUUGACGGUACCAGCAGAAUAAGCACCGGCAAACUCUGUGCCAGCAGCCGCGGUAAUACAGAGGGUGCAAGCGUUAAUCGGAGUUACUGGGCGUAAAGGGCGCGUAGGCGGUUAAUUGGGUGUGAUGUGAAAGCCUUGGGCUUAACCUGA